rnacentral:rRNA from 1 species
UACGUAGGGUGCAAGCGUUGUCCGGAAUUAUUGGGCGUAAAGAGCUCGUAGGCGGUCUGUUGCGUCGGCUGUGAAAACCCGGGGCUCAACCCCGGGCCUGCAGCCGAUACGGGCAGACUAGAGUUCGGCAGGGGAGACAGGAAUUCCUGGUGUAGCGGUGAAAUGCGCAGAUAUCAGGAGGAACACCGGUGGCGAAGGCGGGUCUCUGGGCCGAUACUGACGCUGAGGAGCGAAAGCCAGGGGGAGGCAAACAGG